rnacentral:rRNA from 1 species
AAUGAACGUUGGCGGCGUGGAUUAGGCAUGCAAGUCGUACGGGCCGCAAGGCCAGUGGCGCAAGGGUGAGUAAGGCGACGGUAACCAACCCCAUGGCUGGGUAUAGCCGCGGGAAACUGCGGGUAAUCCCCAGCGACGCGCAGGGCCGGCAUCGGCCCCGCGCCAAAGCUCCGGCGCCGUGGGACGGGCCGUCGUGGUAUUAGGUAGUUGGCGGGGUAACGGCCCACCAAGCCUGCGAUGCCUACCGGGCGNGCGAGCGUGGCCCGGCACACUGGGACUGAGACACUGCCAGACUCCUACGGGAGGCUGCAGUCGAGAAUCUUGGGCAAUGCACGAAAGUGUGACCCAGCGACGCCGCGUGAAGGAUGAAGGCCCUCUGGGUCGUAAACUUC